UAGUAACGGCGAGUGAAGCGGCAACAGCUCAAAUUUGAAAUCUGGCCUCGGCCCGAGUUGUAAUUUGCAGAGGAAGCUUUAGGCGCGGCACCUUCUGAGUCCCCUGGAACGGGGCGCCAUAGAGGGUGAGAGCCCCGUAUAGUUGGAUGCCUAGCCUGUGUAAAGCUCCUUCGACGAGUCGAGUAGUUUGGGAAUGCUGCUCAAAAUGGGAGGUAAAUUUCUUCUAAAGCUAAAUACCGGCCAGAGACCGAUAGCGCACAAGUAGAGUGAUCGAAAGAUGAAAAGCACUUUGAAAAGAGGGUUAAAUAGCACGUGAAAUUGUUGAAAGGGAAGCGCUUGUGACCAGACUUGCGCUGGGCUGAUCAUCCGGUGUUCUCACCGGUGCACUCUGCCCGGCGCAGGCCAGCAUCGGUUCUCGCGGGGGGAUAAAGGCACCGGGAACGUGGCUCCUCCGGGAGUGUUAUAGCCCGGGGCGUAAUGCCCUCGCGGGGACCGAGGUUCGCGCAUCU
rnacentral:rRNA from 1 species